GAUACAACAUUUUGCAUAGAUAAAAUACUAUUGUUUAUAUUGUUUAUUUAUCAUUCCUGAAUUUGUUUGAAGGAUAUGGAGCAGGAGCUGGAGUUUUAAACACAUAUGGUACUAGACCCAAUGGAUUUGGUGCUGGUGCUGAGGGAUAUCCAAAUGGAGGAGGAGCUAAAGCCAGCAAACCAGGCCUUGGAUAUCCUUAUGCAGGGAAACCUAAGCUGCCUGGCUAUGGACAAGGAGCGUACCUUGGAGCUGAAUAUGGAAAUGGAAAUUCACAUAGAGGUACAUAUACCUGGACAUAUAAUUAGGCAUAGAAUUGGUUUUAUAGGUCAACU
rnacentral:lncRNA from 1 species